CCUCUAACUGCAUUUACAAACAGAUUCAAAUCAAUAAUUUCUAUAAAAUGGAAGUAUUCUAUUUGCACUUACAUAUAUAAAUAAUAAAAAUUAAUGGACUCUUUCAUAUACAUGGGAGAACUACUAUUUCUAUGCCUCUCUAAAAUCAUCAAAAUCAAAGACUGCAAAUAAUGAGAUUUUUGGGAGUAGAUGCUUUGAACUUCAGCUUCUAGCAGUUCAUCCUUUUUAGCUUUCAUUAAUUUUUUAUUCUUGUGCACUUCUAAUUUUAUGAACAGAACUACAUAAAUACAUAUAUCUCAAAUUUAAGCAAAUUCCAGUCUCGACCGACUCGAUUUCUCUUGCUUAAAAAUAUGUAUCAUUCAUUUGAUAUACCAAUAUAUUUAUUUACAUAAAA